AUUGUCUGAAAGAAAAGAAAAAGGUGAUACCAGUAAUACCUGCAAAUGUAGCCAUUAUUUUUAGGCUUUGGACAAUUAUCUGGCUUUGAAAUGUGUAUUUGCACUUAAUCACCAGUAUACAGUUUUUGCAACUGCUACAGAUUCUAAGUGGGUUUGCUAAUGGAAAUGAAAAUCUGUCUCUCCCUAAUGAUGUGCCGAUUAGGAGAAAUAACAACCUAAUGACGUGUCUGAAUUAUUUUUGAGGAGCACUAAAGACAGAAGAACAAACACAAAGUCAUCAUCCAAACAUGGAUAAUCUUUAAAACAGACCUGUGCCUGGCCUUGCAGCCUUGCUUUUUGGAUCUCUGGUCAAGGAAUGACCAGCCACCACAGAGGCUUCUGCUGAUGAACUCCGGCACAUUGCACAAAGCACUGCAAAUCUUGCCCGUGUUAUCUGUGCUCUGGGUCAAGUCUGCUAAGCCUGGCAAGCCUGCAGCAAUCACUUGCUCAGAUCUUCCUUGACUUAUUUGAUGUUCUACACUUGUCUUUUCAUAGGAAAUAGCUACUGGUACCUAGUGAAGCAUCUAGUAUUGGUGCAAGAGUAAUCCUGAGGUUUGGAAAUAAAGAACAAAACAAAAAACACAAGACCUUCACAGGCUUAUUUUUUAAGAGUAAUGUAAGGAGAGUCCUUAAAUCACACAAGUCUUCAGGUAUGUCUCCUUCCCCUAAGCAUGGGGGCAGAGUUACUUACAAUUAAGAAAAAGCUGGUAUAACAGGUAGUCACAAACUUUUUAUUGUGUUUUAUUAGUAGUAUGUAUUAAGACUCAAUUUCAAUCAACAUGUUCUUCAGUCAAAUUUGAAGAAAGGUUUCAAGAAAGAGAGAAAAGGUAGGAAAAAAAGGGAGAAAACAGCAGAUUGCAAAGUACUGGAAGUGACAGCCCUCAUCCAGGACACAGAAAAUAAAAUUUCAAGUUCUGCUUUCAAGACUGUGUAGAAAUACCAGAGUUUACUGGUUGUUCAGGGAUGGCUUCUCUUGCGUUGGUUGAAUUGAUGCCAAUUACAUGGAGGAAAAUGAGCUGCAUGAAACAGACUGUGGGAGACUGACACAUAUGCCCCAUCCUGCUGAGAAGUAAGUGAAGAACAGUUCUACUACAACUGAGAACACUCCAGAAAAGCCAGUGGUGUGAUGGUAGGGCAUUCACUUUACACAUGAGGAAAAUGGCAAAGCAGAAUGACUGUUAGAUCCAGAUCCUCUCUGUUCCAGAACAGUGUCCUUCCCACUGGGCUACAGUCUUCUUGCAGGCACUUUGUUCAUGGGAAACAAAAGUGUGUCUCAUCCAGUGCUAGAACAUAUGGUGUCGUGUAUGGGAGAUUUUUUUGUGCUGGGAGACAGUGGAAUAGCAGAUAUGAUGAAUGUCAAAAAAUCUGUUUGUAAUCUUCUUCCCCACAAGGUGGCAAUAAAUGCUACAUGAUGAAACAUAUGUGAUUGCGGAGAUUGGUAUUGAGACUUAAAAAGUCAUGCCAAGAAUGGAAAAGAAAGCUGUUCCAUGGAUAAAGACUAAUUAUGGGAUCUUCCUAACUUACUUUCUGCUCUUUUUCUGAACUAAAAAUACAUAUUAUUCACUUCCUUAAUAACCUCUAGGUUCUGCAAAUACUGAAGAGAUCAUCAGAGAAACUCUGAGCAGUUCCCUUUAUCACUUUAAGAACAAAGAAUCACACAAUAUGCCAAGUUGGAAGGGACCCACAAGGAUCAUCGAGUCCAGCUCCUGGCCCUGCACAGGACCAUCCUCAAGAGUCACACCAUGUGCCUGAAAGUAUCAUCCAAAUGCAUCUUGAACUCUGUCAGGCUUGGUACUGUGACCACUUCCCUGCGGAGCCUGUUCCAGCACCCAGCCACCCUCCGGACGAAGAACCUUUUUCUAAUAUGCAACCUAACCCUCCCCUGACAUAACUUCAGGCCAUUCCCUUGGGUCCUGUCACUGGUCACCACAAAGAAGAGAUCACUGCCCCUCCUCUUCCCCUCACGAAGAAGUUGUAGACUGCAAUGAGAUCUCCCCUCACAUUUAGUAUUCAGAAAUUCCAAAUCAACAUAAUGUUCAGAGUACAUUAGCAAAGUAUCACAGAAUAUUUUGCACCUACCUUUUUAUAUGGCUUUUUUAUUUUUGCAAAGUCAUUGAAAUAAUCCUCUACAGUGACACAGAUAGUCCCCACUGCAUUAGACCCCAUCAACCACUUCUUCGUCAUCAGCUCAUUAAGGUGCGGCUGAGAAGGUAAAGAACAGUAGAUCAGACUGAAUUUUUGACAGUUUCAUUGUAUCAGUGCAGUUACUGAAAAAUGGGAGACAAUUUUAACUGUCAUAUAUUUCUAAACUACACUGCUCCCACAUCUUUCCUCAUGUGAACCAUUCAAGGUGUUUACAUUAAUCCAAAAUUUUAUUACAAAUCUACUGAGUCACAGAGCAUCUUUCUUCACCCCUACCGUUUCUCUAAUUCUCUAAUUUAACUGCCUCCCUCCCCAUACUCCCCAUUUCAUUUUAGUCAUUAUUUUUUCCCUGAGGAAUUCUAUACAAGAAGCUAGCAUUCCUAAACAUGGAAAUCUAUCAAUCAGAAAGGGCUGACCUCUGGAAUCAAUUAAAUAUCUUAAUUACAGAUGAACUGUACCUCCUGAUGACAACUUAGUAACAGUAGUAGUUUCCCAAAUAAUUCCUAAAACUCAACAACAUACAUAUAAGACUAAGUACAAUCUGCUAGAAAAUACUAACUGUAUACAAAGCACCUGCCUGAAGUCAUCCUGUGAAACAUAAUUAAGCAAUUUUCCAUUCUCCUUCAUGCAAACUAUACCAGGGAAGAACAAUACUAGUGUUUACUGGCAUUUUGCUAGCACACCACAUAUCUUAUAUGUUUAGCAAUCAAAAGGCUCCACGACUACUUCCUUCCUAAAUUAUCUUUCCUUUUAAAAUAAUACUUCUGGGUUUUUUGAGGAAGAAAGUUUUAACCUCUAAAUCCAUGAAGACUUCAUCUAGCAGGCUAGAGCAUCCUUCUUUGGCAAUGAUGUCUAAAGUUGCAUCCAUGUUUGCAUGACUGAUUGACAACGUGUCUUCCAUUUCCAUUUUCAAGUAUUUUCUUUUCAGACUGAUUAUAGAUUCUCUGUGACACAAAGAAAAAAAGCUUUUCAUCAUCCACUGAUGCGCAAUUUUUGGAGUGCAUGCACAGAAAAAGACAUAGCGGACAGUUAUUUUUGCAAGCGGAAACAAUGCAUGCCACUUGCUCUGGAAGCCUAAAUUUACUCUCCAGCAUGAUUUUAAGGUGAUCAGCCUAGACUACUUGUGUGUUAAUGACUUGUAGACAUGACAAUGGCAGCAGAUAUGGAUGAAUAAGGUGUUCGAUUGCUGAACACCAAAACAUGAGCCCUGUUCUGAUACUCUUAACAGAAGGUCUUAAUAGAAGGUCUACCUUUACUUUUCUCCAGCUCAGUUCACCUUGAGUACACUGCUUGAAGGUGGUCUGUGAGAGAUCCAAUGCAAGAAAAGAUGGCAGGCCCCAAUCAAACUAACUGAAAUGACCUUUCCAAAUUCUGGAAGUUGAAGACAAGUUUUUCUUUGGCAAUGAAAUUCUUGGAAUAACAACUGUUUUUUCACCAGUGAGGGGCAAUCACAAUACCUGCCUUUUAAAAUGGCAAUAUCUUUAAACCUGUUGCCUGUUUUCAGUCAGCUAAACUAGCUUAACUGAAACCCUCUUUGUAUACAGAAGAAAAGGUCCUUGGAACAGGUAGUACUACAAAUGAAAUAUCUAGCUAUUUUUCUCACAAUACUGCAAGAACAUGCAGACUUACUUAAAGGUUUGACAGUUAUUGAUGACUGCAAUCAUGUACUGAACAUAGCACUGAGGAUACUGACGAUUUUUCAGAUGAUCUUCUUUAUACAACUGUGCUUCAUCUUUGUACCUGUAACACAUACAAGGAAUGGCAUUAAACAGACACAAAUAUGUAAUAACUUAUGUACACCCAUAGGUCUAAAUGCUCCAUAAGGGCUUGUCAGCUAUUUAGAAAUAUUUUAUAAAGGGCUUGUUGCUCAUGUGAUGUUUAGUCUCUCUGUUCUGGGCAGAAUCCAGCCAAGGAGGUGUCUUCUGUCUUCCUUAUGAUAAAGAGACAUAAAAGAAAGAGGAACCAACUCAAAAAAUUAGAGGCAUUUGCAGAGUGGAACUGAAAGUGCCAAUCACCAGCACAAAAGAACUUCUGCUGUGAAACUGGGGAUGGGAAAAAGAAAGAAAGAAAAGGAAAGGGAAGAAAAGCUUAGUUGGCAUGAAUGUGAUAGGAGAAAGACAAAGCAAAAAACAAACAAGUGAAAAACAAGUAUUGGAAUUGUAGGAACAAAGAGAGACUGAGGCAGGAUAAAGCAGCUGUAUUUUAAACAUUAAGUUACCUGGUUAGAAAUGAAUUCAUUUGCUGAAGACAUAGAAGAAGUACCUUUGUUUUCAAAUCUUCAUUUAUCUGAGCAGCCACCUGAAGAUUUUGCUCAAA